UAUGUGGGCCAUGGACCCCCCAUCUAGCACUGAGGCCUACUCAAAUCAGAGCCUGUUUGAACCUGCACCAAGGCUGCUGUCACAGCUGUUGAUUCCUCCCAGGAGAAACCGCUGUGACUGGAAUAAAACCUGGCUCCCACUCAUUCCUGCUGGCCCACAGCAUUUAAGACAGGAGGGGGCUUGAGGACAGGGGCUGGCACAAGGCACGUGCCCUGGAGCAGCCUCACCUCUGCUAUAUGUUGGGCUGCUAUGUGUGGAGCACCGCAGCCUUCUUCCUGGGAAGUUCCUCCGCCAGCUAUGCUGAGUCUGGUCAGUCUGUGGCCUGUGAAGCCAAGCCACAUGCUGCCGCUUGAGUCCAGCUGCUGUUGUGGGAACCUGAGCCAGAAUAUGAGCAACGCUAUCACCUCCAAGCCUCUGCAAUGCCAGCAGCAGAGUGGCGUCCACUACCUGGGGCGAGGCUGUCGCCAGGCAGCCCUGGGGUGCAGCUCCUGGCUUCAAUAAGCUACAUGAGUUAGAAUCCUUUGAAAUGGUCAGCUGGCGGCAACAGAUGAUUCCUGAAUUCAAUCAAAAAGGAGCCAAUCAGAAGCACUCCAAAGUCAGUGUGGCUUCCCAGCUCUAUGCUGUGCUGUUGAGGAAAUUCGUUUAUCAGUUGGAGAUAGGUGAUCCUCUCUACUUCCAAGGACGUCUGCCUCUCUUCAGUCCAGCAAUCACAUCUAACUACAUGGCUAAUUUGUAAAUGGACACAGAGUCUCAAGUGCAAUGUCAGUGCUGCCAACUAACUUGGAUCAAACUGUGAUGUUUGAAAGGAGAGAAGUAACAAUUUAGUUAGCUGAAGGCAAAUUCUUAGCAGGAGACUUCAUCAUCUGCAUUCAGGUUUUUAUGUCACUGAUUUGAUAAUCAGGCCUUUUGUUCUAAGCAAGUUUCUCAUGUUAAAAUGGUCAACCAGUCAUUUUUCUUCUUUUUUCAGACUGAUGUUUAUUGAUACUUCGCAGUAACAGUAAAUAUGCAGUUUCCGUGAAUAGCCCUAUGUCCAGACAAAGGGAAUAGCUGACUUGAGUUUCUGGGUCACUAACUAUUCACAGAUUAGUGCUGUCAGCACCUGAUGGAUGAAGGGGGAGAUCUAUCAGAAUGGAUGUGAGUGGUUGCACUUCUGCUUUGUAAAUCAGGCGGGAAAUCCCAGUGUAAACUUAGCUCUUGCCUGAUACAAUAGGUAAAACAUCCCACGAAGAGCAGUGCCCCAAAGCUACAUUGUCCUUUUCUUGUUGUUGAUCAGAUCUCACAUGAUCUUUCCACUUGUUUGUCUGACGUUACACUAGUGAUGAGAGAUCCCAGCAUUUGUUAUUUAAAAGUCCCAAACC
rnacentral:lncRNA from 1 species